AGAAGCAUCUCCGGCCUUGCUUCUCCUCUAGAGAUUAACUUUCUUCAUAAAAAAUGCGAUGAUGGUUUUCAUGCAAAGGCGAUGUGGUCUGAAAAAUAAUGUUAAGGCUUAUAUUUCAGUUUAGUUGACACAAUAAAUGUGGAUUUUAUUCAGUGGUCUGGACUACAAAAUAGGCAUAGGAUCGAGCGAGCGCUGGCCAGCUUGUCGUCUGCCAUCUGCCCUCGUACGGUCUUGCAAGCGGCAACAUGUUACUGCGCACUGUUUACGUUCGCUUGAGUCCAUCGACAAUCCGGCUAUGGCGACCGAUGUGCACCCACUCGGAAGGCUGCAUCCGGAGGGCAAACGAAGACACCGAAACUCAACGAGCACGACUGCUCUACCAGAGUCGCAAGCGUGGCAUGCUCGAGAAUGACCUGAUCCUCAGCACAUUUGCAGCCAAGCACCUGGCUUCGUUCACUGCAGAGCAGCUUCAGCAGUAUGACAGGCUCAUAAAUCUGCCAUCAAAUGACUGGGACAUCUACUACUGGGCAACAGCUACAGUGGUGACACUGGAUUAUAGAACAAGAUUCAAGAAGCUUGCUUAGGACACUCGAGCAGAGCUUACCAACCUCUUACCUGUCACCAUAAUGCCUGUCACCAUGGCACGACUACCAGAUUGAACCACAGCACACUGCAUCAUGUUACCGCCACAGUUUUCCCAAUUCUGGCCAGACAGUCCAGCUAUCCAGCUCAUCAAGGUGGAGGCUAGUUUUUAGGAGCCAAGACUACUCCACAAGAGUUUGAGAACGAGGUCAUGUCACUGCUGCGACAGCACGUACGCAAUGACGAGCGUGAGCAGCGGUUCAAGCAGCCUGACAUCUCCUAGCCAAAUUAGAAAUGAGAACAAGCCUCUCAAUGUGUUGGAAAACUAUCCAAAGGUUCUGAGGCUGCAUAGAUAUGAAGAAGGCCCGGUGCACUUAGCUUGUCUAAUCUACAUUGCUUCACUUUGCCUUUGGGCCUUUGUAUAGUGCUUCACCUGAUCGACAGCAGCUAGGUGAAACAUUGUGUAUUACACAUUCUGUAGAAGUUAAAGCUUCAGAUUAAAUUUUUCUGGUGCGUAUCUG